AUUGAACGCUGGCGGCAUGCUUUACACAUGCAAGUCGAACGGUAACAGGCCGCAAGGUGCUGACGAGUGGCGAACGGGUGAGUAAUGCAUCGGAACGUGCCCAGUCGUGGGGGAUAACACAGCGAAAGCUGCGCUAAUACCGCAUACGAUCUGUGGAUGAAAGCGGGGGACCGUAAGGCCUCGCGCGAUUGGAGCGGCCGAUGUCAGAUUAGGUAGUUGGUGGGGUAAAGGCUCACCAAGCCAACGAUCUGUAGCUGGUCUGAGAGGACGACCAGCCACACUGGGACUGAGAACCGGCCCAGACUCCUACGGGAGGCAGCAGUGGGGAAUUUUGGACAAUGGGCGCAAGCCUGAUCCAGCAAUGCCGCGUGCAGGAAGAAGGCCUUCGGGUUGUAAACUGCUUUUGUACGGAACGAAACGGUCUGGGUUAAUACCCUGGGCUAAUGACGGUACCGUAAGAAUAAGCACCGGCUAACUACGUACCAGCCGCCGCGGUAAUAC
rnacentral:rRNA from 1 species